GUGUUGUACAGCAGAAAUCUCAAGUAAUGUAAUACUUAAGCUGACACAGCUUCCAGGAUCUGCUUCAUGAUCUUCCCUGGCAGAGAUGAGGCUGACAGAAUCAUAGAAUGGCUUGUGUUGGAAGGGACCUGAAAGAUCAUCUAAUUGCAACCUCCGUUUGCAGAGAAUCGUAGAAUGGCUUGGGCUGGAAAGGACCCC